rnacentral:sRNA from 1 species
GCCAGGCAUGGUGGUAUGCACCUAUAGUCUCAGCGAUAGGGAGGCUGAAGUAGAAGGAUCACUUGAGCCUAGGAGUUUGGGGCCAGUCUAGGCAAUAUAGUGAGACCCUGUCUCUU